rnacentral:rRNA from 1 species
GAGCGAGAAAAGGGGGGCAACUCCCUGAGUACAGCGGCGCACGGGUGAGUAACACGUGGGUAAUCUGCCCUGAAGUGGGGAAUAACACCGGGAAACCGGUGCUAAUACCGCAUACGAUCACGGAGUCUGCGGAUUUUGUGAUGAAAGGAGCAAUUCGCUUAAGGAGGGGGUCGCGGCCGAUUAGUUAGUUGGCGGGGUAACGGCCCACCAAGACGAUGAUCGGUAUCCGGCCUGAGAGGGCGCACGGACACACUGGAACUGAAACACGGUCCAGACUCCUACGGGAGGCAGCAGUGGGGAAUUUUGCGCAAUGGGGGAAACCCUGACGCAGCAACGCCGCGUGGAGGAUGAAGUCCUUCGGGACGUANACUCCUUUCGAUCGGGACGAUUAUGACGGUACCGGAAGAAGAAGCCCCGGCUAACUUCGUG